rnacentral:lncRNA from 1 species
GCGUCCAGCAGUUUCACUUUUCGGGCAACGUGUGCAAGGAUGGUUUCCAAGGAAUCAUGAGCUUAACAAGUACUAAAGUGGCAGGCGAGCAAGCACACUCCCCGGAAAAGUUUGGAUUCAUUAACUCCAGCAUCGCAUACUAAACUCCUGGGUGGUGGCAGUGCAAGUCAUCACAAGUGAUUGACGCCGCCAUCUAACCCAACACGGCCAAUGCAUCUCAACCUCUCUAUGCGCAUCCUAUUCGGUGGAGCGAGAGCGACACCUUUGCGUUACACCCUGGAACACCAUCGCGUACACGUCGCGUACCCUGACCACCCAGGUCCCCCUUGCGCCCUCCCUAGGCAGGCACCCACCAGGACACAUAUUCCAAACCCGUGCGGUGAUGCAAUCAACCCAUGCAUCUCUCUCUCCCAUCCUCUUCAAGAACAAGAAAAAGCAACAACAGACCGAUCAAGCGAGCAAAAGAGCUCGAAACAAGCCAGCAAAAAGUAACACACAUAUCGCUCUGAUGUCAGAGGAGCAGGCCACGCCACAACGAAACUAGGCACGGGUUAACAAGGAGGUAACCGGAUCUUUCAAAAUGUGCGGUGGGUUUCGGGGCGAGUGGAGCGACCCCGUCCCUCAGAAACGGCAAGGGCUGGGAGCCGUACCACCCACUACCACUCCAAGUGCAAGUGCGAUGCAUAGCCCGGAAAGAAUCGUCCUGCGCCCAGCCGCGCGAUGCACUGCACUGUACUUCACUGUACUGCAUCGUACUGCACGCGCACAUGUGUGCACUUUUGUAUUGUUGUACACCGAGCUCUCGGUGUGCGUCACACUUCAGUUUUGCCACAAAAGAAUUUCAACUGCAACACCACCCCACAACAGUGAGGAAGCACGAACAGAUUAGUCAUGCGAGGUUACUGACAAUGUGCACAUCGUGCACGUCGGGAGGAAGGGGUACGACGAAGCGCAGGCGAACCACUGCGGGGGGAGGAAGGCGGAGGAGGACGACCAGAACGAUGGGUGGGAAACCCAACAUGAAAGUGGGUAUACCGCAAAAUGAAGAGGCCACGAGGCAAGCAGCAGCUGUCGGCAAAAGCGUGUUACCAGCAAACACUAAGACAAACACCCUAGUGCCGCAAAGCACACAACUAGUAGCAUACAUCUAAACAUACGCACAUACAGGCACACACACGCUCCCGGGCGGGUGCAAUGCGUAAGCGCUCUUCCUCACGUGGAAACGCAAUACGUUACGUCGUUGGCAACGCCGUUCCCAUCCACUGUCCAUUCCUCAUACAAAAGGCAGGUACAAAAGGUACGGCAAACACACGUCGAUACACCCCUUCCUCCCCCUCGCCACUCUCUCACUUCUUCUUUUCCAAUCUCUCACUCCCAAUCACGAUAAUCAUCAACACCCACACACUCCUAAAACACACCAAACACAGAUAUACACUUCCCUCCCUCCCCUUCCUCCCCUCCCCUCCACUCUCCCCCUUCUUCGUUGGGUGACACUCCCUUUCCGUUCUGGCAUUUUCGCAUCCCGACGCGCACACAUACGCAGCACUCAUCCCCGGGCUGCUGAUGCGGGUGUACGGCGGGGCCGUACGAGGGCCUCCUCGUCACUCUCCGUUCCCGCCCUCCCGAUGUCGUACGUGGACCCGGCCUUUGGCGUAGGUAGGUGAUGAAGGGGGAGGGGGGAGGGGCCGGAGGGAGUUCGGAAAGGGGGAAAAGUGGACGAGAAAGCGGCAAGGAAGGAGAUAAAACACGGGUUGUGGUAAGGAGAGAUACGCGAGACGGGUAGGAGACAGACAGACAGAUAGACAGACAGACAGAACGGACGUGUGCACGGGCGGAUGAGAGCGUUUGUAUGAAUCCGGAUCAUAUCUAUGCCGUGUCCGAUGUUGAAUACAUCUUGAGGGUCUUUCGACCCUCGUGUGGCUCGCAGGUGCUGUUCCGAGAAAGCCGGGUGGGGAGGGGGAGUCGCCGGGGGGUGCUGAAGACGCGAGAGGAUGCGAGAGGAUGCGAGAUCUGAAGCGGGACUCCGACUCACUACAGAAGGGCCUCAUGUGCGGAGCUGAUGCAUAGGGAUGACUCAGUGACGUGCGGUAAUAAUGAGCUCAAAGGGACGGGCGGGUACACAAAACACACAUACAUACACACAUACACACACGGGCGCAGGAACGAAAAGGUGGCCCCUCCUCCCAACCCCGGCCAGAAUGGGAGGUCGCCCACAAAGCCAGCCAGCUUCGGGCAGGUAUUCGUGUAACUGCAGACUUUCGGAGGCGGUACUUCUUGGGAAUUCUACCCUUCAGUUUGUACAAUGUAUUCAGUUUAUUCAGUUUUGUUGGGUUCCAUCCCCCAUCUGUGAACCUCUCAUCAGCUCGCUCACCACGUAGUCGACAACGAACUUGGGUGGCAGGUGACCGUUGAUAAUUCGGUUGAUGGUUGUGAACAGGGGGUAGUUGCUCUCCCAGCAUCGGGCCUGAAGAGGAAAAGGGGGAUUACUGGAGUUACUGUGUAGCGGGUAGGUGGGAACUGAACUGACCAGGGG